AUUGAACGCUGGCGGCAUGCCUUACACAUGCAAGCCGAACGGCAGCACGGGAGCAAUCCUGGUGGCGAGUGGCGAACGGGUGAGUAAUAUAUCGGAACGUGCCCAGUAGUGGGGGAUAACUGCUCGAAAGAGCAGCUAAUACCGCAUACGACCUGAGGGUGAAAGGGGGGGAUCGCAAGACCCCUCGCUAUUGGAGCGGCCGAUAUCAGAUUAGCUAGUUGGUGGGGUAAAGGCCUACCAAGGCAACGAUCUGUAGUUGGUCUGAGAGGACGACCAGCCACACUGGGACUGAGACACGGCCCAGACUCCUACGGGAGGCAGCAGUGGGGAAUUUUGGACAAUGGGCGCAAGCCUGAUCCAGCAAUGCCGCGUGCAGGAAGAAGGCCUUCGGGUUGUAAACUGCUUUUGUCAGGGAAGAAAUCCUUUAGGUUAAUACCCUUGGGGGGAUGACGGUACCUGAAGAAUAAGCACCGGCUAACUACGUGCCAGCCGCCGCAGUAAUAC
rnacentral:rRNA from 1 species